rnacentral:rRNA from 1 species
GAAACAACCCAGACCGCCAGCUAAGGUCCCAAAUUACUACUAAGUGGGAAACGAUGUGGGAAGGCUCAGACAGCCAGGAUGUUGGCUUAGAAGCAGCCAUCAUUUAAAGAAAGCGUAAUAGCUCACUGGUCGAGUCGGCCUGCGCGGAAGAUGUAACGGGGCUAAGUAGUAAACCGAAGCUGCGGCAAUGUGCUUUUGCAC